ACUCCAACCCCUGUGACAUACCAAUUGUUGCCUCGGCGGAUCAGCCCGCUCCCGGUAAAACGGGACGGCCCGCCAGAGGACCCCUAAACUCUGUUUCUAUAUGUAACUUCUGAGUAAAACCAUAAAUAAAUCAAAACUUUCAACAACGGAUCUCUUGGUUCUGGCAUCGAUGAAGAACGCAGCAAAAUGCGAUAAGUAAUGUGAAUUGCAGAAUUCAGUGAAUCAUCGAAUCUUUGAACGCACAUUGCGCCCGCCAGUAUUCUGGCGGGCAUGCCUGUUCGAGCGUCAUUUCAACCCUCAAGCCCCCGGGUUUGGUGUUGGGGAUCGGCGAGCCCUUGCGGCAAGCCGGCCCCGAAAUCUAGUGGCGGUCUCGCUGCAGCUUCCAUUGCGUAGUAGUAAAACCCUCGCAACUGGUACGCGGCGCGGCCAAGCCGUUAAACCCCCAACUUCUGAAUGUUGACCUCGGAUCAGGUAGGAAUACCCGCUGAACUUAAGCAUAUCAAUAAGCGGAGGAA
rnacentral:rRNA from 1 species